AUACUCAGAAGCAUCAAAACCUCCUGCAGAGUUAAUUUCUCAUGCUCUCUACAAUUUGCCGUCUCUAAAUUAGGAUUUUGAAGAAGUAGAGAAGAACUAAAAAGGGCAACAAAUCAAAACAAACGGAUUGUAUAUUGGAAAGUGGUUUUCUAUGGGAAUGCGGUGGAAGAAUUAACAAGAACCCUUUUGAAUCGAUAGCAAAAUGAUAUCUCCUCUCAUGCUGAGAAUACAUCGUCAGCAGGCAACUGGAAUUGCAAUAUCAAAUGCUUACAGCAUUUCAUGGACCCUAUGCUUCAAGAAAACAGAAUGCUCCAGUUAGGAUCUUAUGUUUCACUUCUCUUAGGGGCUGGAGCUAUGUCUGCAAUGGCCAGAUGGGUUUAAGAAUAAUUGAAUGCUAACCAUGGAUUUUAUAGUAGAAAAUUUUCUAAUGCUUUCUUUAAGAGCUUAAUUAUUUUUUUGAUUUUUUUUGAUUUUAUGUUGUUAGAAUUUUAAUCCAUUAUAUAUCUAAUGGGAGAGGCUAUAGUUAUCUUCUGCUCAAUAAUAAAACACUGUUUUGCAUUAUGAACUUAACUACUUGCUGAAUGAUUUUCAAGUGUAAAUAUUCAAUCUAUUUUACAAACAAAAAAAAAACUGGUUCCUCUUUUCAUUCAUGAACCCACUGCAAUCACACCACUACUUACUAGUUAUACUAUCAAUUUGCACGUUUGGUUUGGAUCGAUAAAAGUUAAAUAUUUCGAUUUCAAAUCAUUGCAUUUUCAUAAGAAGCCUAUGAAGCUUGUUAAUUAAUGUAAACACAUGUAGUUCACUUCAAAACUUAAUCAUUCUCAGCCUUUUAUUUUAUUAAUCUUGGCUCUAAUUGGUACUUUACCUAUUGUUUCUGACUAGGGUACGUGUCGAGGAGGAUCGGAAAGGGGAAAUUAACGGCUGGAGUUUGGGCCUGUAACUGGGCCACAGGUAUUUUUGGCCAAUAAAUAUUUUUGGAAAAUCGGCUCGAAAAGUUGUCUAAAAGCGCUCGG